rnacentral:rRNA from 1 species
GAUAAACGCUGGCGGCGUGCCUAAUACAUGCAAGUCGAACGAAGAGCACGUAGCAAUACUUGCUCUUAGUGGCGAAUGGGUGAGUAACACGUUGGUGACCUACCCCAAAGAGAGGUAUAACUCCGGGAAACUGGAGCUAAUACCUCAUGUGGUUGUGAUGAUUAGAUGCUUCACAUCUAAAGGAGUAAUCCACUUUGGGAGGACCUGCGUCCCAUCAGCUAGUUGGUAGGGUAACGGCCUACCAAGGCGACGACGGGUAGGGGGCCUGAGAGGGUGGCCCCCCACACUGGCACUGAAACACGGGCCAGACACCUACGGGUGGCUG